AAAAUUAUGUAUACACGUAUAGGCAGCUAGAGAUCUCCCUGCCUGCCUCCUCCCCUCCCCCGAGACGGGCAGCUCCGAUCCCGCAGGAACGCCUGAAACUGUUUCAGACCAAGAAUGGUAACUACAAUGGGACAAUCCAGCCGUUUACCAACAAAUGAACAGAACUUACAGAAGUGUACAUGAAUAGCCCUGUAACAUGAGCACCUUCACUGCACUGCCUGGUGAGGGAUGCACUGGGGCCGGCAGGAGUACAGCCUGACGCAGGACACCAGAGUCAGACAGUCAAGAACAGAAAAUUGGAUUUUUACAACCCAUUGGUAUCUCACCACCACCUUCUUCCAGGUCCUCUACAACUGUGGUACAAGUCCAACUGUCCUGGAAAGCUGAUAAAGAACAUUUGCAUUCCAAGAGUUCCCUUGUUACUACUCAGACAUGGGUGAAUACUGAAAAGUGAGUACUCAGAGAUAUGUAUUACAGUAAAACCAUGAAUUCACCUCAGUGGUAUUUAUGACCUUUUGUAUUUAUUUUCAGAAAACAUGUGAGUAUUUUUUUAGCCAAAAUGCUUGAGGAAAACAAGAAGUCUCAUGAGUACUUGUACAAAGGCUCACGCCUAGGAAUGUUCAUUAGGCCUUUCUCAAACCUCUG
rnacentral:lncRNA from 1 species